rnacentral:misc_RNA from 1 species
ACAGCAGAUAUUAUGAGACGGAUAGCAAAGUUUCGUUCGUUUCGUGUGUAUCGAUUUUUUGAGUGAAGUGAACGUAGUGUUCAUGUCCUUUAGUUUAGUGACGUUUGUUAGAAAAAUAUCUGUGAAUGGGAUUGUGUAACAAGAUAAAACGUUUAUUUGGUGUGUGAUUUUCUGUAAAGGAUGACGAAGGACAGGUUAGCGGCGCUCCAGGCGGCGCAAAGCGACGAUGACGACGUCGGGCCAGACGAUGUCAACGUCGCCGUUGAAGGCGGCUUCAUGGACGAAUUCUUCAGUGAGGUGGAAGAGAUACGAGAGAUGAUAGAUAAGAUUCAGGCCAAUGUCGAAGAAGUGAAGAAGAAGCACAGUGCCAUCUUAUCAGCACCGCAAUCAGAUGAAAAAACAAAGCACGAAUUAGAAGAUCUCAUGGCGGAUGUCAAGAAGACUGCUAACAAAGUUAGAGGCAAAUUAAAACACAUAGAGCAGAACAUCGAACAGGAGGAGCACUCUAACAAAUCGUCGGCUGAUCUCAGGAUAAGAAAGACGCAGCACUCGACGUUGUCGCGCAAGUUCGUCGAGGUGAUGACCGAGUACAACCGGACGCAGACCGACUACAGGGAUCGGUGCAAGUAUAGGAUACAGCGGCAACUCGAGAUCACCGGCCGGGCCACCACCGAUGAUGAGCUCGAGGAGAUGUUGGAGCAAGGGAACUCUGCCGUCUUCACUCAAGGGAUAAUAAUGGAGACGCAGCAGGCGAAGCAGACAUUGGCCGACAUCGAGGCGCGCCACGCCGACAUCAUAAAGCUCGAGACCUCCAUCCGCGAGCUGCACGACAUGUUCAUGGACAUGGCGAUGCUCGUCGAAAGCCAGGGUGAGAUGAUCGACCGCAUUGAGUAUCAUGUAGAACACGCUGUGGACUAUGUCCAAACUGCCACACAAGACACAAAGAAGGCCCUAAAAUAUCAGAGCAAAGCUCGACGGAAAAAAAUCUUCAUAAUAAUUUGCCUGAUUGUUACGCUGAUUGUAUUAAUAAUAGCACUCUCUCUGUGGCUGUGGCUAAGAUAAAUGAAGAUGUUCAACAGAGGAUAUAGCAACUCAGUUGCUUGAACGCGACUAACAACAUUUAACAUUCGUCUGCACUUAAACAACUAAUAUGCCCAUGAUAACUAAUAUGCUGAGUAUAAAGAGCAGGAAAAAACGCAGAAGUGGUAUAAAAGGGACGGUGAAAUGGAUUCAUCUUUUUCGAAAUGGAAUCAUGUCGUAACCCUUAAGGGGUUUGACUGUGGAAAUCAAACUGCGAAGCUUGUGAUUUCUCGUAGCAAUUUCACAUCUAUUAUACGUUAAUUUCUAACUGAUUUUAAACUUUCGCGUUGAAUUAUAUUAUUUAUGAAUAAUUCAACUUAUACAUACUAUUUGUAUAGUUUUAAUUGCCAUACAUAUUUAGAAACAUUUAAACAUCCUAUUUCAAUAAAAAAAUUACUAAAGGCCAACAUAUGGGCUAUUCUAUUGCGCAAGAUAAAUAUUAUGCAAUUCACCUUGCGUAGAUGAAUAAUAAAAGAUAAUAAGAAUGUGGAUCCACUUGCUUCUGAAUUAAUUAUAACCACACUAAUUUAUCGUACAAUACAUAGGUAUCAAAUACGCUUAUCAUUUAUUCACUGUAUAUGCUGAAAACUAUUAACACUUUUAAGACAUGUUCAAUUUGCUUUGAAUUCCUAACAUCUCGUCAUAAACAAGUGUUUGAGAUACACUUUAUUUAUUAUGUUUAUCAUUUGCAAAAACUGAUGAUGAUAUUUGCCUUUUGAUUUGAUAAGAAUUUAAGCAUUGUAUAAACUGAAAAACAGAAGGGUGGACAUAGAAGUGAAUUAUGUGAGUGAUUGAUGACAACUUAUUUAAUGUGUAAAGGAAAGUACUUUAUUGUUGAUUUGCAUUCUUUUGAAAUGCUCUAGUUGUUAGUGCUUUAGUCAGUCGCUUCCUACCACACCCACAUAAAGAAGUUAAGUCUUAUUUUCUGCCUUAAAGGUGUCAUUGGUCUUUUUAAUAUUCAAAAGAUUACAAUGACUACAAUA